UAUUAUCUCAGCUGUCUGUUUAUAGAGGUUCUAGCGGGGUACAAGCAAUUGUUACUGCCAAUGCAAGAAAACAGGCAGAACAAGAUGAAUCACUGGUUAUGGCUUCGGGAAUCCCUUACACCAUUAUUAGAACUGGCUUGUUGGUAAAUGCACCGGGUGGAAAUCAAGGUUUCAACAUUAAAGAGGGCUGUGCAUCACAAGGAAAGUUGAGCAAGG
rnacentral:misc_RNA from 1 species